CGCAAAAACACAGUAGGAAGAGCAUAAAAAAAUGGUCGUGUGGGUGGCCGUUCUUGGCCGCGGUGGUGGCCGCCCGGCCGCAGUACCCCCCUCCAAGAGGUGUUGUGAUUUUGCAUCUUCUCCAACUCUUCCAAGCUCCAUUGAUACUUCUUCAAGGUUUUGAGUAGCAAAAUCUAAAGACUCAACCACAUGCAAUUAACAAUAUCCACCACACAAGAGGAUUCAUGGUAAUUACAUGGAAAUAGUGAAAGUUCAAGACUUACCAACGGAACCUAGACUUGCUCCGGUGCGUGUUGAAAUGUUACCGAAAAGAAGCAAAAUUCGGAAAAACUUCAAGAGUGGUGGAAGAAGUAUAUUGAAGCACCAAGGAAAGCAGGAGAAAAAGCCAUGGAAAGAGAACCUGGAGGAUGGAAAGUGUUGAAAAUCCUUUCAUGAAACAUGUUCAUGACAUAAUUUAUUUUUCCAUAAAAAUUGUGAAUUCUUGUGAUCAAAUGAAUGUGAGAUAUGUCUAGGAAUAUUUAGGAGUCAAAAUUGAGUCAAUGGUCAAAAAUUGACCAAAAGUCAACAGUUGAUCAAAAACUCAACCAUACCAAAAUGAUGUAAAUUUUUAUCAUUUUUCCUUGUAAUCCCUUAUCUUCACUUGUGUCUCAAACAAUAAGUCUUGUAUCAUGAAUAAAUGAAAUAUUAUAUGAAUUUCCAAU